GGAGAGAUGGCAGAGCGGUCGAUUGCGGCGGUCUUGAAAACCGUUGAGGUGCGAGCCUCCGGGGGUUCGAAUCCCUCUCUCCGCCA
rnacentral:tRNA from 1 species